AUUGAACGCUGGCGGCAGGCUUAACACAUGCAAGUCGAGCGGGGGAGGUUGCUUCGGUAACUGACCUAGCGGCGGACGGGUGAGUAAUGCUUAGGAAUCUGCCUAUUAGUGGGGGACAACAUUCCGAAAGGGAUGCUAAUACCGCAUGCGCCCUACGUGGGAAAGCAGGGGAUCUUCGGACCUUGCGCUAAUAGAUGAGCCUAAGUCGGAUUAGCUAGUUGGUGGGGUAAAGGCCUACCAAGGCGACGAUCUGUAGCGGGUCUGAGAGGAUGAUCCGCCACACUGGGACUGAGACACGGCCCAGACUCCUACGGGAGGCAGCAGUGGGGAAUAUUGGACAAUGGGCGGAAGCCUGAUCCAGCCAUGCCGCGUGUGUGAAGAAGGCCUUUUGGUUGUAAAGCACUUUAAGCGAGGAGGAGGCUCUUAAGGUUAAUACCCUUGAUGAGUGGACGUUACUCGCAGAAUAAGCACCGGCUAACUCUGUGCCAGCCGCCGCGGUAACAC
rnacentral:rRNA from 1 species